rnacentral:tRNA from 1 species
GGGCAGCCGUGGCCUACUGGUUAGGGCUUCGAGCUUGGAACCGAAGGGUUGCCGGUUCGAUCCCCGACCAUGCCCA